AGCAGGUAUCAGGCACUUCCCCGAAGGCCCACGACACCCUGCCUAGCCACACCCCCACGGGACCUCAGCAGUGAUAAACAUUAAGCCAUAUGCGAAAGCUUGACUUAGUUAUAGCUAAGAGGGCCGGUAAAACUCGUGCCAGCAACCGCGGCUAUACGGGUGACCCAAGUUGAUCAGCCACCGGCGUAAAGCGUGGAUAGGACAGAACCCCCACUAAAGCCAAACACCUUCUAAAGCUGUCAUACGCAAUCAAAGAUAGGAAGUCCGACCACGAAAGUGGCUUUAUGUAGUCUCAACCCACGAAAGCUAGGGAACAAACGAGGAUCAGAGACCCUCCUAUGCCUAGCCAUAAACAUUGAUGGCCCAGUACACUCACCAUCCGCCCGGGAACUACGAGCAAGUGCUUAAAACCCGAAGGACCUGGCGGUGCUUUAGACCCCCCUAGAGGAGCCUGUUCUGGAACCGAUGCCCCCCGUUCAACCUCACCCCUACUUGUUUAUCCAGCCUAUAUACCGCCGUCGUCAGCUUACCCCCUGAGGGGCCGUAAGUAAGCAAGACUGGUACUACCCAAAACGACAGGUCGAGGUGUAGCGCAUGGAGGGGGAAGAAAUGGGCUACACUCGCUACUACAGCGAAUACGGAUGAUGUGCUGAAACACACACCUGAAGGAGGAUUUAGCAGUAAGCGGAAAGUAGAGCGUCCCGCUGAAAAUGGCCCUGAAGCGCGCACACACCGCCCGU
rnacentral:rRNA from 1 species